GGUGCUCGGGUCCGGAAGCAACAUGGCAGCAUCCGUGAGGCGCUAGUUUUAGGAAAAGAGAGGGUUUGGUGUCGCUGCCUUGCGGGAUUUUGACAGGUUGGAGCUUUCCACGACCUCCCGAUUUAAGGAAGCGUGUAUCGAUAGGUGGACAUCUUUAGUUAUCGACCGUUCGCUCUCAUCCCCACUUAGGAUCAGAGUCCUGAGCGCUGACCAGCAUGAGCAACAUUUACAUCCAGGAGCCUCCCACGAACGGGAAGGUUUUAUUGAAAACUACAGCUGGAGAUAUUGACAUAGAGUUGUGGUCAAAAGAAGCUCCUAAAGCUUGCAGAAAUUUCAUUCAGCUUUGUUUGGAAGCAUAUUAUGACAACACCAUAUUUCAUAGAGUUGUACCUGGUUUUAUAGUCCAAGGGGGAGAUCCUACUGGUACAGGGACUGGUGGAGAGUCUAUCUAUGGAGCCCCAUUCAAGGAUGAAUUCCACUCACGGUUGCGUUUUAAUCGGAGAGGACUGGUUGCCAUGGCAAAUGCUGGUCCUCAUGAUAAUGGCAGUCAGUUUUUCUUUACACUGGGUCGAGCAGAUGAACUUAACAAUAAGCACACCAUCUUUGGAAAGGUUACAGGGGAUACAGUAUAUAACAUGCUGCGACUGACAGAAGUAGACAUUGAUGAUGAAGAAAGACCACGUAAUCCACACAAAAUAAAAAGUUGUGAGGUUUUGUUUAAUCCUUUUGAUGACAUCAUUCCAAGAGAAAUAAAAAAGCCAAAAAAAGAGAAACCAGAGGAGGAAGUAAAGAAAUUGAAACCCAGAGGCACAAAAAAUUUUAGUUUACUUUCAUUUGGAGAGGAAGCUGAGGAAGAAGAGGAGGAAGUAAAUCGAGUUAGUCAGAGCAUGAAGGGAAAAAGCAAAAGUAGUCAUGACUUGCUUAAGGAUGAUCCACAUCUCAGCUCUGUUCCAGCUGUUGAAAGUGAAAAAGGGGAUGCAGCAGGAGAUUCAGAUGAUGAUGGAGAAUAUGGAAGUGCAGAGCAUGAUGAAUAUGUUGAUGGUGAUGAGAAGGACCUGAUGAGAGAAAGAAUUGCAAAAAAGUUAAAAAAGGGCACAAGUGCAAAUGUUAAGACAGCUGGAGAGAGUGAAGUGGAGAAGAAAUCAGUUAGCCGCAGCAAAGAGCUCAGAAAAGAAGCAAGACAAUUAAAGCGGGAACUCUUAGCAACAAAACAAAAGAAAGUGGAAAAUGCAGCAGAACAAGCAGAAAAAAGAAGUGAAGAGGAAGAGGCUGCUCCAGAUGGUGCUGUUGCAGAAUACAGACGAGAAAAGCAAAAGUAUGAAGCUCUGAGGAAGCAGCAGGCAAAGAAGGGAACUUCCCGUGAAGACCAGACCCUUGCACUGCUGAACCAGUUUAAAUCCAAACUCACUCAAGCAAUUGCUGAAACUCCUGAAAAUGACAUUUCUGAAACAGAAGUAGAAGAUGAUGAAGGAUGGGUGUUGUAUGCAGAGGCCUUGCACCUAACACAUCGGAUUAGAGUUCCCAGCGCAGAACCGCUGUGCUAACACCCCAGCUUGGUGAGCUGUGUGGAGAAGCACUACACACAACACCUCAAUUCAAGAUGGCGGCAGCGGGCCAUGACCGGAGAAGCUGCACCAGUCACUGCGAUCUGGAGCCUGAGCCACAGCUGCUCCAGCCAGGAGUUUGGAAGAAGCGAGCAGGCAAUGUAGUCAUGUGGUAACAUCCUUCCCACUGCCAAAAUGGAUUAAUGCUGGGAGAUCUUACAACUGGUGAGUAAUCGGUAGUGCUUACAGACCCUCCAAGAUCCCCAAGGUGUGAUUAUUUUCAUACAUGGAUUUCUGUCAUCAUCCUCCAAAGGGUGCUUUGUCAGUUUCUUUAAUUUUCCCUCACUGGACUCUCAAGCCCAUGUUACAAGUAUGG